rnacentral:tRNA from 1 species
GGGCCCGUAGCCCAGAAUGGAUGGGGCGGCGGCCUCCUAAGCCGUAGGUCGUGGGUUCAAGUCCCACCGGGCCCG